AAAAAAAAAAAGCCUCGCGUGUGAGAAUGUCUAAAGAUGAGUUUCUGUCAAAAUUCCAAAUAUCAGGACAUAGGUUCAUUUAUGUAAACCAGUAAUAUGAGUGAUGAAUGCUAAGAAAGCAUCUAAUGCCAUUGAUCUGGGUGCAAUCCAAGUCACUUAUUCCAUUCUCUUUAGCUUUCACCAUCCUCUUGUCGUAUCUUAUCUUUACCUCCUGAUUCUAUUUCUUUUUCACACUUCAAACUCACUACUCUGCACUAUAAAUAUAUAUACACUAUGUUCUAGUCGAAGCAUAGCAGAGGCCAGAAGGAGUUGAUCAAAUACAAACCCUUCUUUGUGUAGGGUUUUCCAGAAACCAAUGGCAUCAUUAAAAGCUGAGAAACCUGCUGGAACUCAAACUUUCGGGCAGGGCAAGAAGGAACCUGCAGCCAAGGCUACUGAUGGUGCCUCCAAAUCUGCAGCUUCCAGGUCCUCUUCUUCCAAGAAGGCUGCACCAAAGGAAUCCAAGAAGAAGGGAAAAGGUGGCAAAUCAGGGAAGAACUAAUCACAGAGCCUUGCACACGAUGUGUGAAAGCAGCAGUUAAAUUGAAGACAAUUAGUUGUUUUAUGCACUUAUUUUAAGGUUUUUUUUUUGAACUCAAAAAAUGUGUGACCAUAUGCAAAUGUAAGUCAGCUUCCUGGACUUGCUCUAUUGAAAUAAAAUAUUGCAUUUGAAACUCA